rnacentral:rRNA from 1 species
GGGAGUGAAAUAGAACCUGAAACCCUGCACUUACAAGCUGUGGAAGCACAUUUCUUGUGUGACCGCGUACUUUUUGUAGAACGGGCCAACGAGUUACGUUAAGUAGCAAGGUUAAGCACUUAAGGUGCGGAGCCGUAGCGAAAGCGAGUUUUAACUGAGCGUUCAGUUACUUGACGUAGACCCGAAACCGGGCGACCUACCCAUGAGCAGGCUGAAGCGAAAGUAAAAUUUCGUGGAGGUCCGAACCCACGAGCGUUGAAAAGCUCGGGGAUGACUUGUGGGUAGCGGUGAAAUUCCAAUCGAGCCCGGAGAUAGCUGGUUCUCCCCGAAAUAGCUUUAGGGCUAGCCUCAAGGUGAGAGAUACGGAGGUAGAGCACUGAAUGUCCUAGGGGGUAUUGCACCUACCGAAGACUAUCAAACUCCGAAUGCCGUCAUCUUAUACUUGGGAGUCAGACUGUGGGUGAUAAGAUUCAUAGUCGAAAGGGCAACAGCCCAGAUCGUCAGCUAAGGUCCCUAAAUGUAAGUUAAGUGGUAAAGGAUGUGGGAUUGCACAGACAACCAGGAUGUUGGCUUAGAAGCAGCCACUCAUUCAAAGAGUGCGUAAUAGCUCACUGGUCGAGUGAUCCUGCGCCGAAGAUUUCCGGGGCUAAAACUUACUACCGAAGCUACGGCAUCAGUAAUGAUGGGUAGGGGAGCUUCCCAUACGGGUUGAAGCAUGACCGUAAGGACAUGUGGACAGUAUGGGAGUGAGAAUGUUGGCAUGAGUAGCGAGAUGUGGGUGAGAA